AGUGGCAAACGGGUGAGUAAUGUAUAGGAAUCUGCCUUAUAGUGGGGGACAACAGCUGGAAACGGCUGCUAAUACCGCAUAAUACCAUUUAUGGGAAAGUCGCAAGACGCUAUUUGAUGAGCCUGUAUCCGAUUAGCUUGUUGGUGGGGUAAUGGCCCACCAAGGCAAUGAUCGGUAGCCGGUCUGAGAGGACGAUCGGCCACACUGGAACUGAGACACGGUCCAGACUCCUACGGGAGGCAGCAGUGGGGAAUAUUGGGCAAUGGACGAAAGUCUGACCCAGCAACGCCGCGUGGGGGAUGAAGGCCUUAGGGUUGUAAACUCCUUUUAUUAGGGAAGAUAAUGACGGUACCUAAUGAAUAAGCAUCGGCUAACUUCGUGCCAGCAGCCGCGGUAAUACGAAGGAUGCUAGCGUUACUCGGAAUUACUGGGCGUAAAGUAUGCGUAGGCGGGCUUUUAAGUUGAUAGUGUAAUCCCCAAGCUUAACUUAGGAAUUGCUAUCAAAACUGAUUGCCUAGAAUAUGAAAGAGAGUAAGGGAAUUCCUGGUGUAGGGGUAAAAUCCGUAGAUAUCAGGAGGAAGACCGGAAGCGAAAGCGCUUACUUGGUUCAUUAUUGACGCUGAGGCAUGAGAGCGUGGGGAUCGAACAGGAUUAGAUACCCUGGUAGUCCACGCUGUAAACGAUGAGUGCUAAUUCUGGG
rnacentral:rRNA from 1 species